rnacentral:rRNA from 1 species
CCCUUAGAUGUUCUGGGCCGCACGCGUGCUACACUGAGUGGAUCAGCGGGUCAGGUUGCGCGAAAGCGUUUCCUAAUCUUUAAAUCCGCUCGUGAUGGGGAUUGACGGUUGCAAUUUUCCGUCGUGAACGAGGAAUACCUUGUAGGCGCAUGUCAUCAUCAGGCGCCGAAUACGUCCCUGCCCUUUGUACACACCGCCCGUCGCUCCUACCGAUUGAGUGAUCCGGUGAGGCUCUGGGACCUGGACGGAAAGAGCGUUUCGCUUGUUCUGUUUGGGAAACUUGGUCGAACCUUAUCAUUUAGAGGAAGGAGAAGUCGUAACA